UGGGGAAUAUUGCGCAAUGGGCGAAAGCCUGACGCAGCGACGCCGCGUGAGGGAUGAAGGUUUUCGGAUCGUAAACCUCUGUCAGAAGGGAAGAAACCGCACUGUGCUAAUCAGCAGUGCCUUGACGGUACCUUCAAAGGAAGCACCGGCUAACUCCGUGCCAGCAGCCGCGGUAAUACGGAGGGUGCAAGCGUUAAUCGGAAUUACUGGGCGUAAAGCGCACGUAGGCUGCUUUGUAAGUCAGGGGUGAAAUCCCACGGCUCAACCGUGGAACUGCCCUUGAUACUGCUUAGCUUGAAUCCGGGAGAGGGUGGCGGAAUUCCAGGUGUAGGAGUGAAAUCCGUAGAUAUCUGGAGGAACAUCAGUGGCGAAGGCGGCCACCUGGACCGGUAUUGACGCUGAGGUGCGAAAGCGUGGGGAGCAAACAGG
rnacentral:rRNA from 1 species